rnacentral:snoRNA from 1 species
CCCAGCAGUAGUCAGCUGUCCAGAUUGUUCCUGUGAUGGUGUUACACUGCUGGGAGAGAAAUGUCCUGUCUUCUGCCUCCAGUUGCCCCUGUCACUGUUCUGGUGGCAUCAGGCACUGGUGCAAGGCAGAACUGUGCUUCCUUGAGAGUGUGCUAAGCAUCCACUUUGGCUGCUUAGUUCUAGUGUGGGAGCAGACACA